GGGGCUUGCUCCUCAAGUWAGUGGCGCACGGRUGAGUAACGCGUAGAUAAUCUGCCUGAUGAUCCGGGAUAACACUUCGAAAGGGGUGCUAAUACCAGAUAAGCCCACGGGGUCUUUGGAUUCWRCGGGAAAAGGGGGGGACCUUCGGGCCUUCUGUCAUCAGAUGAGUCUGCGUACCAUUAGCUAGUUGGUAGGGUAAUGGCCUACCAAGGCUACGAUGGUUAGCUGGUUUGAGARAAUGAUCAGCCACACWGGAASUGAGACACGGUCCAGACUCCUACGGGAGGCAGCAGUGGGGAAUUUUGCGCAAUGGGCGAAAGCCUGACGCAGCAACGCCGCGUGAGUGAUGAAGGCUUUCGGGUCGUAAAGCUCUGUCGAGGGGAAAGAAGUGUAUUGUGGCUAAUAUCCGCGAUACUUGACGGUACCCCUAAAGGAAGCACCG
rnacentral:rRNA from 1 species